ACCGUAAGUAGCCAGGUAUCCUGUUCGAAGAUACGAUCGUCGUAAAAACUAUCAGCACGGAGGAAAAUUUAUCGAUAUCUGUCGCAUAAUUACCAUGGUAACGCGACGAUAAACCGAUGGUACUCUGUUUGACUUGCUAUUGAGAAAGAGCGUCGAUCAUGUAGUUCCCGAACCAACGACCAACGUGUAUGGGUAUUCGAUCUCGGUGAAAUUCACACGUGGCUGUUCCCCUUGUGGCACCUAUCAAAAGAACAGCCGAUGUAACCAACGCGCAACGCCGAUCACAUCCAUCGGAGAUACUAGUCAACUUUGCAAAAGAGCGAUAUAAACGUAGUACGAAACGGGGAACACAAUACGCUCGUAAUUCGCUGAAGAGAAAAAGAAAGAAAUAGAAAGAAGAAAUAGAAAAGAGGGACGAGUCUUCGACCGUUUUCCAAAUUACGUUAAUUAUUCCGCUAAUUAGGGAUACGAUUGCACGAGAGCGAUAAGGAGCUCGAUGCCUUCGUUGUCUGUCAGCGAGCUGGUUCGAGCUGGGACGAACAAUUUUAUUCUCGGGCUUUCGAAGAAGAGCGGAGAGACGAGGCAAAGGGUUGCGCGCAUUAUCGAGAUUAGGCCGAACGCGUAUCUCUGCUGUAUCGCGUGUAUCGCGGUCUUGCGUGGCUCGCGUCGAGAUUCCGAUGAAUGGAUAGCAAGGAAAAUAUAACCGAGCGAUAAUAGGAGAAUCGGGGGACAGCUGCAACAAGGAUUUACGACUCUUUGUGCGCGCACCGAAUAAUGCUCGAACUGUCCAAAAAUUUAUCGAUCCUAUCUGCCCUUGCCGGCAAAUAUUUACAUCGUACACUGAAUCUAGGAGGAUGUCAACGUACUCCGAUUUCCGAACACGAGUCCUCCGGUUUCCCGACCCCAUCUACGCGAAAAAACAGCGCCUUCUUAAGCACAAAGUGGUAACCGUACCAAUGAUAGACGUAUUUUACGUUAUACGCGUUGUAAUUUAUAAAGACGUUUUGAAAUUUCGUUGGUAAACUUGAACAAACGCACUGUAGCGAGACACGACGGUCCGAUCGUGUCGGUGAAGCUCGAAACGAAUCCGGAGAUGCAUCCGUAUAUCUGCACUCCGGAGACAGAGUCUGUUGAAUCGCACGCUCUUCAAACUUUGGAGGAAAGCGAAUCAAAGCUGCAAAAACCUUGCAACGAAGCGUCUCAAUUUAAUAUCAUUUUUAUAUUGUUAUAAGAAAAAUUUGUCAUUUUCUUCUUCUUUUCGAGAAUAGACUUGACACACUCUGGCUCGUUCCAGAUAUAAAAAAUCGAUUAUAAGCUCGGUAGGAUCGUCUUUAAUACCUACAGAUUUUACUAAUGCGAUCGCGACGAUCGUGUCUCACGCUAUCAACGAAACUUUAGAGCGCUUUACAUAGCACGUACAAUAUGGACGUAAAAGUCUUUAAAUAGUUUCGUGAGUCAUUCCAUGUGACGAAAAAUUCGAAUCGCUUCGGACGCGAUUCAAAGCCCGGAACUCUUGAAAGUCUUCGUAUGUGACGGAUCAAGACUUUCAAGAAUUCCAGGCUUCGAAUCGCCUUCGAAACUUUCACACGUCCGAGGCUAACGAUACGAAAAUCCGUCGUUGCUAUCGAGACGAGUACGUCUAUCUCGGGUUUCGACGCCAACUUUCCAAAAUGCAACGAUACCUCGCGUAUUUGCGCUCCGAAUCGCGGAUGUAUCUCGACGGUCACAGAAGCAACGAAGAAACGUCGAAGGAAAAACGAGCCGAAGGCGCGAUCGCUUCCUGCUUUCGCGAGAAUUCCCUCCUCCGUCUUUCAGCAUCGUGAUAUUUAUGGAUUCCGAGAUUAAAAGCGCGCCGGUGAUUAGCGUGCGGAGACCGAGCCCGGAGUAAAUUAAUUAUAUCGACCGAGCGUCCCGAUAACUUAUAACUGAAUGCCUCUUUGUCCAUCGGUUAGUUCGUAUCCGGACCGAGAUUUCGACAUUUUUUCUCCCAUUCGCGGAAGAAUCUUGGAAAUCUUCGGUCCACGAUAAAAGGUGUGCUCCGAAACCAACCGACAGAUAAACUCGACCGUCUCUCGCUCAAUGGAAUCUAUUGUGGCAGAUGGAUCGAGGCGCGUUCCAUUUCCGGGGUCAAGAAUCCUCGUGGUAACGUAACUUUACCGAACUCCAGGAAGAUCGACAGGGCAAAUCUUUCGACGCAGAGAGAACGCUGCGAAUUAGCCGAUCCAUUCCUAUGUACCGAACAUAUCUCGACACGAACAACCGUGAAAAAACCAAACAGCUGCGCGGAACGCUGACUCUCGUCAACUUUUUCAUCCUCUCGUUUUUCUCUCGACGGUGAAAAAAAUUCACCGUCACCCAACGCGAUAUCUCUACGUCGACGAUCGAUGUCGAACACGAUGCAAAUGUAAAUACGGCGUAUGAUGGAGACGCGGUUCUUUCUAGACCGUGGAUCGUUAUACGUUUACGGUAGAUUUAAAUGUGUAGGAUGCAAAGAUGCGUAAAUGGCAAAUGAAAAUGACGAAGACGUGUCUUCUCGCGUCGAAAAUUCACAUAGUUUAGCGGCCAAAGAAUACAGAGUCACCUUGGAUGUCGAAGGCAGCUGACGAUCUCCUUCGUCUCUGUUUGCGCGAAUAAAAAUCAGAAAUAUCGGAAGAAUGAUUUUUGUCUUCCUACUAGUUCGGAUAUGGGCGGCUCUAUCGUGUAACAAAAGUAUCAAGCUUUCGGUCGAAUCGUAGGUAUUUAAAUACUUAUAAACGGCAGCGUAUGUAGAAGAGGAAACGUCGAUUCGAAGGCGCCUAGGGCCGAAAAACGGUGAAGCGUCACGCGUUGGACGAAAAACAUACGAGGGCCUUCCAGCCGUUUAAUCUCGAGACGCGGGUAAGUGGCGUAAAAGUCGCGACACGACUAUUCCCACGUUCGCUCGUUGGACGGAUAUUCGUUCCGCGAUAAGGCCUGUUUGCUCUUGGAAACUUAGAACGGUCCAUUCGCGGUUCUUCUAUUUCCCUCGUCCCCUAACCCCGUUCAACGAACCGUUCAAAUAUUUGGCUUUUUUCGCUUGUUUUAUAUCGUGGUUUAUAACGCGCGACCAGCGAAAACCAACCCGGUUGAUUCGACCGAUUUCAUUUGGCUCGGCGAGAUUUGCAAGGAAAACGGAUUGCGCUAUAUAAUCGCCGUCGUAUUGCACCAAAGUGCAACCUCUUUUAGCUGCGAUAACUAAAUGAUCUGCUACAUCACGCGCUUUUUAUACGACGAAGAAAAUGUAAAUUAAAGGGCCUGCUGCCACAAAGAGCUCCGCUUUCAGAUUAACAGAGAUCAACUGGAAAUUCGUCAAAAUCAAAUCAAUUUUUUCAACGCGAGUUUGUAUUUUUUCCAAAAAAACGUUGUUUUUCGUAUUUCGCCGAGUAUUUCAGGACACUUUUAGGUCUUUUUCGCGUCAAGUGCGAAUAUAGACUCAACCUGGACAAGAAAUUCCAAGGAUCCGCUAAAUAUUCCUUUCUCGUUGUUUCUUCCACCGAGAUUCUCCUCGAUUUGAUGCAAUUUAAAGAAUUUCAAGUAUUCGUAACACUGUGAUAGACGGUAGCUUGGUCCUUAGCGCGUCUAGCUCAGUUUUCCUCUAUGUUUCAUUUCAUUCGUAUCUGGCGUCAUUUCGUCAGAACUUCCGAGGCCUUUUUAAUCGUCGAUAAAAGCGAGUUGGCAAAUAAAAAUUUUAUUCGAUGCGUCUUAUUCGAUUUCAUUAAUCUGUCGCGUAACGACGUUCACGUUUCUACCACCGUGUAUCCUUUGGUCUUAUCUGCAAGCCAGGCAGAAAAAUCUCGACGAUAGCCUGGCGAAAAGGAAGGGUUAACGAUCAAUCGUUAUCUCUCAACUCGUAACAGUUUCUUUUUUUCUUUUCUUUAUUCCGACAAACCUUAGAAUAUACCGUCGUACUUAUAAAUUAACUUUUCGAACGCUCGCGCGUCAAAUGUUUCUACACGCUCUACGCUUUUCGCGCUUCUUAUAGGCGGCGCGAUAAAUACAUAUGUAUGUCUAACGAUAAAUGUAAGUACAAAAGCAC